rnacentral:lncRNA from 1 species
ACCAAGGAAGUCUCCAACCUGCAUAGGAGCCGUGAUGCCCGUGACACACAAUAACAGAGAUAAUGCACAUUUUAUACUACAAAAAGAAGCAGAUUCUGCAGUACUCUACAUUCAAAGCUUCCAUCUUUAAUACUGCAACUUUUACUACAUUCAAGCUUCCAUCUUUAAUACAGCAACUUUUACUACAUUCAAGCUUCCAAGACUGAAAUGCUCAAGUUUUAACUUGUAGUAUCAUCACCCCUCCUUCAAAGACGGCAAGAGGACAUCAGCAAAUCCCUUAUCAUGCUCCUAAUCCUUCACUUCCUUUUGAUUUUUAAAACCUCUGCGGCAUAUGAUUCAUGUAUAUACUUAAGGCAACCAACCCAAUACAUCACUGAGCCACAAAUGGGGUUACUGUGCCAAAAAUUAAUUCAUGCUCCAGCAUAAAGCACACAAAUUCUGCAAGGUUCUACAUUCAUAUAUUGCAUAAGAAAGUUGAUAGUUGGUGCCUGUCUUAGAUGGGUACAGAAGACUAGUGCCUACUUCCAGCUUCACAUAAAGCUAUGUCACCUGCUCCUUCCAUUCUGCUUCCCUUUUUCCCUGCACCCCAGUCUAAGUUCACUGCUAAAAGUCCACCCUGCAUCAAAAUCUUCCAAAGAGAAACCUGUGAUGGUCUGGCCGGUCCAACCAUCACUGCUGCCUCCACAAUGAUCAAAUAAGAUACAU